CCCACAAUGCACUUCAUGGGCCCCUCUCCGUGUUAGUUCUUGGGAAACGCAGUCCAACGUCGGAUGGCCUGUUUAGAAACCAUGUCCAAGAACUAGAGCAUUAACUUGAAGAAAGAGGUUAAGAGCUUUCUCUCCAAUCAUUCCAAAAGUAACGCUCGUGAGACAGGCAGAAUUUUCCAGAUAAGGUGACUGCCCCAGAGAGACUGUGAUUGUCUAAGUUCUGGCCACAUUGGUACAGAAGAGCAGAUCUCUGAUUCCUUCUCUCCAGUCCUCUAGCCUGACCUGAGGAGGGGCUUUUGCUUCUGGUGGAAAGUGGUCUCUGCACAAGGCCGUAUUCCCAGCGGGAUCAGCUCAUUAGUCCCACUUGCUGAUCUUCACAGCAAUGCGCCUACUCACCAGGAGCUGCAGGUGGAAGGACCAUGUGGAGCCCAGAGCUCUGAAGGGCCAGGUCUAAUAGACCUGCAGUUCCUGUGGAGAGUGGGCUCAUAUUGGAGAGCUGGAUCUCUCGACCCCAGCCGUCUGAGAGGUGUGUGAGGUCCUCAGCAGUGCAAGAUGCAGCUGAGGGCGGGAGGAGAAGCAAGCCUGUGCUGUCACGUUCUGUUGCAGAACCCUGAAAAGUUGGCAAAUUCUAAAUCCAAGCCUGGCCUUCCAGGUUGUCAUGAAGAUAUAUAUACCAUGUUCAGAUUUCUGAAAUCGGGAAGCAUCCUACAAACCAUGACCUCUGCAUUGUGUUUCAUCAACAUUGCUGCUUCUUUGUUAGUUGUACAGUAAACGAUG
rnacentral:lncRNA from 1 species